rnacentral:lncRNA from 12 species
AUGGAAAUUGUGAGGAAAUCGGUGGUGAGUGUUGAAGUCAGGGCUAGAACCCGGAUCAUUUUCCUUCAAGUCAUGAAUUGUGCCUCCAAACCACACAGAAACACUUCACAGACCCCAAAGGAAACGAUGAGUAGCAGAACUGAUCAUGAGUCUCCUAAGAUUGGGAAGGAAAGGAUUGGAAUUCAUUCAAAAUGAGGUAUAUUUUAUUUGUUAAUUUCCUUGUUCCAGAAGUAAUUUGAAGACAUCAAUAAUAAUACACAUUUACUGGGUUGCCUGGGUGGCUCAGUGAUUGAGCAUCUGCCUUCAGCUCAGGUCGUGAUCCCAGGGUCCUGGGAUCGAGUCCUGCAUAAGGGCUCCCUGUGAGGAGCCCGCUUCUCCCUCUGCCUAUGUCUCUGCCUCUCUCUCUGCGUCUCUCAUGAAUAAAUAAAUAAAAUCUUAAAAAAAAAAAGAGAGA